rnacentral:rRNA from 1 species
UACGUAGGGCGCAAGCGUUGUCCGGAAUUAUUGGGCGUAAAGAGCUCGUAGGCGGCUUGUCACGUCGGGUGUGAAAGCCCGGGGCUUAACCCCGGGUCUGCAUUCGAUACGGGCAGGCUAGAGUGUGGUAGGGGAGAUCGGAAUUCCUGGUGUAGCGGUGAAAUGCGCAGAUAUCGGGAGGAACACCGGUGGCGAAGGCGGUUCUCUGGGCCUGUGCUGACGCUGAGGAGCGAAAGCGUGGGUAGCAAACAGG